rnacentral:misc_RNA from 1 species
GUAGGUGAACCUGCGGAAGGAUCAUUAUUGAAUAUUCUUGAUGGGUUGUAGCUGGCUCUUCGGAGCAUGUGCACGCCUGUCUUGACUUUAUUCAUCCACCUGUGCACCUUUUGUAGUCUUGGGGGUUCAGAGCAGUCGACCGUCGGACGGACUGUCCGGAUGUGAGGAAUGCCGAGUGCGGAAGCAUGCGGCUCUCUUCAAAAUGACUUGCAAAGCUUCCCUCGAGUACUAUGUAUUCAUACACCACGUCGUAUGUUGUAGAAUGUGUUCAAUGGGCUUAUGUGCCUAUAAUAAUCAUAUACAACUUUCAGCAACGGAUCUCUUGGCUCUC